rnacentral:misc_RNA from 1 species
CGCUUGAAUCAUUUUUUUAAUAAGAGGGUGCAUCCCCAAACAAUCGACUCAGAAGGCCCAUAUAGACUUCUUCAUUGUUCAUGUAAGGGUGACAAAAUAGGAGUGAUGCAAGAGUUAGAAAAAGGCGUUGAGCCCAAUUUUGCUGAUUAUGAUAAGAGAACAGCUCUUCAUUUAGCCUCUUGAGAAGGCUGCACCGAAAUUGUGGUCUUACUUAUUGAGAAAGGUGCUGAUGUGAAUUCUGUAGAUCGUUGGGGUCUUACCCCCCUCUCAGAUGCUCGUAGCUUUGGCCAUGAGGAUAUUUGCAAGAUACUGGAAAGUCGGGGUGGAAUAGAUCCAGUAGGACUUGAUUCCCAGACACCAUGCUAUGAGAUCGAUUACAGUGAAGUGGACGUGGAUGGUGGAACACUUAGUGGAGAAGUAAUUUCUGAUUUUCUCUAUUUAUACAGGAAACAUAACGCAACCGAAAUCCACUUUUUUAGUGUUAGAGCUGUAGGAGGUUUAUUCAGAUAUUUAACCUUCUCUGUUAGUUGUGCCUUUACUUAAUUAUAUUAAUUGGUGAUGAUUCUGUUCACUUAAAUCAUGAAGUCUUGCGGGGAGCGUAUGGUGAAGUUUAUUUAGUGAAGUGGCGUGGUACAGAAGUAGCAGCGAAAACUAUUCGCUCCUCUAUUGCAUCAAAUCAGAAAGUGAAGUGAGUCCUAUUAUCCGGAAUCUGGAGUUGUGUAGAAAGCUCCGGCUCCUCUCUGAUACAAACAAGCAUGCACAAAAUUAUAUACAAAGAAAUCAUCUCACUGUUUGUAAUUGUCUUGCUCAAGUCAGUAUAUUAUAAAACCAUUGCACUAAGGGAGAUGAAGAAAAAAGGAAAAAUAACUUUAAAAACAAAAGCAUCAAUGUUACUGCACAAGGAUAUGCUAGGUUUGGAGAAAAGUCUAAUAGAACAAUAUUGCCUGUUUUAACCAUUAUGUACUUAUGUCUUGUUUGCUAUAUGUGAUUGUUUCAUAGGCAUACUUUUUUGAAGGAACUGGGAUUAUGGCAAAAGUUGCGCCACCCUAAUAUAGUGCAGUUCCUUGGUGUUCUAAAGCACUCUGGCCACUUAAUCUUCCUGACAGAUUAUCUUCGCAAUGCAAGUAUUUAUAUUAAGUAAUGAUUUUGGUGUCAACAAGAAUCUCAUUGCUGAUUUUUCCUCCAAUGUAAAUUUGCUAGGGAAGUUUGUAUGACAUACCAAAAAAGAAGGGAAGGUUUGAUCCGCAAAGAGCAGUUGCCUAUGCUUUAGAUAUUGCAAGGUGGAUCAUUUAUUCACUUGAAAUUUCUAAAUAAGAACUUUUGGUUUAGCGUAAAAUUCACAAGACAUCUUUUGCAAAUGUAUAAAACAAAAGCUUUAUGGUGUUAUUAACUGUUCUUGUGCAAUAAUAUCACUAUUAUUAAAGUUUGCCAUGUUGACCUGGUGAAUCGGUGAAAAAUAAUUUUGAAGAUUUGAACCCAUGAUUUCAUGUAACACUUGCAAUGUCAUACCCAAUUUAGCUAUCUUAAAAGCUGCAUAUCUUUUGUACCAACAUAUGUUAUAAAAUUAUUCUUUGUCAGUGAUGUUGUAUGAAACCAGGGAAGCGCGGAUGAUUGCCAUGUGUAUCCAGAUAAGGAUAAAUAAUAUUGUAGGUAUAUUAAAUGUGCCCAACGACUCCUAGCGACCUAUUUUUCAUACUUGGUGACCCUUUUCAGAUCUCCCUAACCUACAACACAAAGCAAGGUUAGACAGCCAAGAGAAACUUUCCCCGUUAGCACUUCGAUAGCUAAGUUAAUAAGGGUAGAAUGUGAUCUAGAUAGAGUGAAUUCGAGUAAUAAAUGAUAAAAGGUUCAUUAAGAAGAAAAAACUUACCUCGGACUAUCAGGGUAUAUUUAAGACUCAUUGCCCAAUAAGGACAAGCCACAUGUCGCUCUUAAUCCCUAGGUUCUCCAACAUGAGGUAGGUUUCUAUUGGGAGGGGAUAAUCUUCUGAGCACGGUAGUGAUUGUUAGGUUCGUAUACUAGGUUAGGAUUGAUAAUAGCCACUGGGAACUCAACUAUAAAGUGAAUAACUAGCACAUAGGGUGGAUUUGGGUUUCCGUGCGUUUAAUGAAGGAGAUAAGUCAUAUCUCUUUAGCUUUCUUAAUGGGGUUCUCUUGGCUUGAUGUGGAUAAAUCAUAUCCUUGGUAUUAAUUGGUUGUAGGUGAGCUUUUCAGUGGCAUUGAUAAGGUCGUAUGACCAUAGAGAAAUCGUUCAGCAACCCUAAGGUCAUUCCAUAGUUACCAGAUUCGUUCACAUCUCUUAGGUUCCGCGUUUUGGAUCGCGAGUCCCAGAUUGCAAGACAGCUGCAUCCCAAAACGCUAGGAGACACAUUCUGAAUCGUCAAAUUCUAGUGAACCCAUGCACUCAACACUUUUCUUAGAUUCUCUAGCAAUCUUUAGAUGAGAUGACGAUAUGAGAUGUAAAGCAGAGAAAGAGGAAGAGAAGGCGUGAUUUGAUUUUGAGGAAGAGAAUGAUGGAUAGGAGACAUCUGUAACCAGUAACUUACAUGGGAUAUGGA